rnacentral:lncRNA from 1 species
GUAGGAGGUGCGAUGUUCCCGCAGUGCUUGCCCAGCAGGUCGGCUGCUUCGCUGUCUCCAUCUCGGAUCUCAAUGAAGUCAUACUUGCAAUCAUGCUUUUCGAUUUCGAAGUGAGGGUUGAAGUUGAGGAUAAUCUUCUGGUUGGGCUCAGGAGCAUAGAUGACCCACUCGCAGUUCUGGUGGGAGGGGUAGUCAUUGGGGUAGCCUGGGGAGGUGAUGUACCCAGCGUCCUUGGAGUUCAGGCGGCCCCCACACGGCUGAGCUGUCUCCGCCGCGCCUCCGGAGCCGGGCAAGCACAGCCCUAGAAAUCCCCACGCCAAAAGAAACGUAUCCAUCCUUCGCGAGGAAGCCGAUAACCGCAAAACCCCACCGAGAGGCCGCGCGCCGGGCUGCGCUCCCUGCCCCGGAGCCCCGCGUGGGCGGCCCACGGGCGAGCGGCUCCGACGCGGCUCAGCGGGGGUCGGGCUUCCCCGGGCCGGGGCCGCGGGGCGGGCGACGCGGACGGAGCGCUCGUCCCCUAGGGCGACCCGCGGGGCCGGCGCCUCGGCAUCCCCCGGGGCGCGGCGACGGCGGUGCGGGCUGGGGCGCCGUCUGCGCCUCCUCUCGCUCCCCGCCGGCGCCUCGCAGCCUUUUCAGGCAGGGCGGCAUGUGG